UACGUAGGGUGCAAGCGUUAAUCGGAAUUACUGGGCGUAAAGCGUGCGCAGGCGGUUCGUUGUGUCGGUGGUGAAAUCCCCGGGCUUAACCUGGGAAUGGCCAUGGAAACUGGCGAACUGGAGUGCGGCAGAGGGGGGUGGAAUUCCGCGUGUAGCAGUGAAAUGCGUAGAGAUGCGGAGGAACACCGAUGGCGAAGGCAGCCCCCCUGGGCUAGCACUGACGCUCAGGCACGAAAGCGUGGGGGAGCAAACAGG
rnacentral:rRNA from 1 species